rfam:Schistosoma mattheei strain Denwood, Zambia genome assembly, scaffold: SMTD_scaffold0003823
AUCCAGCUGACGAGUCCCAGAUAGAACAAAACGCUUGUCCUAGAU